CUUCUUCAGGUGCUGGUGACGCCAUGUCCAGGCAAAGCUUCCAGUAUUUCCUAGAGUCUCUGUUACAGGACCAGUGGCUGAUACCAACAAUCUCCUCCAUCCAGGACUGGUUCGAUGCCAUCAACAACUUGUGGCUUCAGGGAACUUUCACAGACUUCACCCCUACGGAAGUAGCUGUCUAUAGCCACUGGGUUUUAUUUCUGGCUGCCACAAUAUCCCCAGACCUGCCCCCCGAGCAUUCCUCCACUUCCCUUUCUAGGCCCCACAGCGCCCCCACACAGCAGGAAGCAGCCGGAUCUGACCAACGACGUCCCACUUCCUAAGAAAACAAAAAGGGAGGAAUGUUGGGAAAAGUAUAAACGGCAGCCAUACCCCAGAGAAAAAACCCCAACAUGGCGCCUAAGCACCUCUUCUUCCUACCUUCUUCUUUUCUGCAGUGGCGCGAAAAGUUCCCGCCCGUGUGAACUCUCCCGCCAGCGC
rnacentral:lncRNA from 1 species